rnacentral:snRNA from 1 species
UUUUCAGUGAGAAACCACCGAU